UUCCACAUGAUCGCAUGUGAUUGUGGGAAAGAUUCUAUCGGCGUGGGAUGGGGUCGCGUCCUAUCAGCUUGUUGGUGAGGUAACGGCUCACCAAGGCUUCGACGGGUAGCCGGCCUGAGAGGGCGACCGGCCACAUUGGGACUGAGAUACGGCCCAGACUCCUACGGGAGGCAGCAGUGGGGAAUAUUGCACAAUGGGCGCAAGCCUGAUGCAGCGACGCCGCGUGAGGGAUGGAGGCCUUCGGGUUGUAAACCUCUUUUGUUUGGGAGCAAGCCUUCGGGUGAGUGUACCUUUCGAAUAAGCGCCGGCUAACUACGUGCCAGCAGCCGCGGUAAUACGUAGGGCGCAAGCGUUAUCCGGAUUUAUUGGGCGUAAAGGGCUCGUAGGCGGCUCGUCGCGUCCGGUGUGAAAGUCCAUCGCUUGACGGUGGAUCUGCGCCGGGUACGGGCGGG
rnacentral:rRNA from 1 species